rnacentral:misc_RNA from 1 species
GAUGAAGAACGCAGCGAAAUGCGAUACGUAAUGUGAAUUGCAGAAUUCAGUGAAUCAUCGAAUCUUUGAACGCAUAUUGCGCUCUCUGGUAUUCCGGAGAGCAUGCUUGUUUGAGUAUCAGUAAACACCUCAACUCCCUUUUCUUUUUUGAAAUUGGAGCUGGACUUGAGUGAUCCCAACGCUUUCUUCCAAGAAAGUGGCGGGUUGCUUGAAAUGCAGGUGCAGCUGAACUUUUCUCUGAGCUAUAAGCAUAUCUAUUUAGUCUGCCUAAAAAACAGAUUAUUACCUUUGCUGCAGCUAACAUAAAGGAGACUAGUUCUUGUGCUGACUGAUGCAGGAUUCACAGAGACAGCUUCGGCUGACUUUGUAAACUCGAUCUCAAAUCAAGUAAGACUACCCGCUGAACUUAAGCAUAUCCAAUAAGCGGAGGA